rnacentral:ncRNA from 1 species
ACCAUUAUCGAGAGGUAAUGCUGAGCGUACAGAAGUCAGCAGAGGUCAUAGUAGCUGUUUUUUUUCAGCGAAGGAC